AACCGAUUUCUCUAUGCCACAGACGCCAAAUGUCGCCAUCGAUCAAUGACAUUUUGUGUAGUCGAAUUUAUUGAUAUAAAGCGUUAAUGUAAAUAAUAAACAAUAUCAUCAUAAAAGUCGGCUUCCAGUCGAUAUGUAUGCCAAGGGCAAGGGCUCUACGGUGCCUUCGGACGCUCAGGCUCGCGAGAAAUUGGCGCUCUAUGUGUACGAAUACUUGCUUCAUGUCGGUGCGACCAAAGCGGCUCAAACAUUUUUGUCAGAAAUACGAUGGGAGAAGAAUAUAACACUGGGCGAGCCGCCCGGGUUCCUCCACUCGUGGUGGUGCGUGUUCUGGGACCUGUACUGUGCCGCGCCGGAGCGACGGGACACUUGUGAGCACUCAUCAGAAGCGAAGGCUUUCCACGACUAUGGUUUUGUCAAUUCUGGUUAUGGAGUCAACGGUAUCGGACACAACGCCGGCCCGGCGCCGCCCAACGACGGCAUGGGCGGCGGAGGCAUGCCCCCCGGAUUCUUCCCUAACUCUCCACUCCGACCGUCACCGCCAGCCCCGCAUCCCGGAUCUCAGCCAUCUCCCCACGGACCACAACCACAGCUAAUGGGCACUGGACAGCCGUUUAUAGGACCUUGGUACUCCGGUGGAGGACCGAGAGGAGCCGUACGGAUGGGCAUGGGCAAUGAUUUUAAUGGGCCUCCAGGUCAGGGCAUGAUGGGCAAUUCUCUGGAGCGGGGCGGCGGCGGCGUGCUGGGCGGGCCGCGCAUGACGCCGCCGCGGCCCGGCAUGGGGCCCAUGAGCCCGGGCGCCUACGCCGCCGGCAUGCGCGGCCCGCCGCCACAGGGACCAGGUAUGCCACCAAUGGGUAUGGGACCUCGAGGCGCGUGGGCCGGGGGCAGCGGUGGCGGCGGCGGCGGCGGUGCGGCCCCGCUGAACUACUCAGGGGGCUCUCCGGGCGCGUACGGGGCCCCGCCGGGCAGCAACGGGCCCCCGGGCCCACCGACACCGAUCAUGCCAAGCCCACAAGACUCGUCCAAUUCCGGGGGCGAGAACAUGUACACACUGAUGAAGCCGGUGGGCGGAGCGCUGGGGGCCGAGUUCCCUCUGCCCGCGGACCACGGCCCGGCGUCGCAGCACCUACCACAGCAGCCGGCCACUGAAGGUGUCUUGUCUCAGGGCUGGGGGGAGUCGACGGCAUGAAGUCGUCGCCCGGAGGCGUGGGAGGGGGAGGGCCGGGAACUCCCCGGGAAGACUCUGGAUCGGGAAUGGGAGACUACAACUUAAGUUUCGGUGGCCCCGGCGGCGACCAAAACGACCAAACCGAAUCGGCAGCGAUUUUGAAAAUAAAGGAAAGCAUGCAGGAGGAGGCCAAGAGAUUCGAGAAAGAUCCCGAACACCCGGACUAUUUUAUGCAGUGAACGGUUCAUUUUCGAAAAUAACUGACGCGCCGCCGACUUGCCGAGAAAAAAAAGUAUUUUUUUCUUUUCAUUUUUUUUACCGUCUGAAAAAAUACCGUUACCGAAGUUUUGAUACGUUCGGUUUUUUUUUGUAGUUCGGUAUCGGUAAUACCGAAGCUCUUUCAUAUUCAAGUAGUUCGGUAAUUCGGUAAUACCGAACCACUUACAUAGUCAAAAUAAAAUCUUUUUACUGUCAACUUGAGCGUACAAAACUGAUAUCGGUAUUUUUUUUGGAAACGGUUUUUUGGUAUUCGGUAAUGGGAAAUAGUUCGGUUUCGGAGUUUGAAGUGUUGAGACUUUUCGAUAUCGUUUUUGUAUUGGUAUCGGUAUUUUGGAUACCAAGUUUUUUGGGUAUCGGAUUUUUUCGAUACCGAUGUAUAAUUUUCGAAACCGAACUAUUUUUGUACUAUUUUGUACGAAAUUUUCAUAUGCAUUGCAAAGCUAGUUAAAUUAUAAAUUCGGGAUGAUUUUUUUAAAUCAAAAAAUAUGUGAAAUAUUUGUAUGAUCUCAAAAUUAUACAUUUUUGGUGAGUUGGCGCGCGUUCUGAUUUGCGUUCCGACGGUCUGAUGGUAAGAAAAUCAUGUAUUUUUCAAAAUACCCUUUUCCUUCGGAGUUUUCCUUUGCACAAUUAUUUAUUAUUUUUAAUUUAGCCCGGUGUAGUAUAUUCUUUUUUUUAAUAAUAUGUUUCUCGGAUCAAUGUCAGUUGUGUUACAUAUUUUUUUUAUUGACAUAAGGGUAAAUAAAUUAGUAAAAAUUCACAUAGGAACGAACUUUCAUAAAAUUAUGGUCAUUUAUAAACUUUGGAAUAUAAUAAGACUUUUUAAAGUCUGCAGCUACGUACAAAAAAUAUUUUAAAAUUUUAAUAUGUGACAUAAUUGGCAAAAAGUACCCAAAUUCUGGUGGUAGGGGGUGAAAUUGUUAAAUGCAUUUCGUUAACGCUUUUGUCAGUCAGUAAUGAUAUUGUCAGUCAUCAACGACAUUGUCAGUCAACAACGGCCAAGUAGUUUUUGUAUAGAAAAUGUUUACCGUCGUAAUUUUGUAUUGUGACGAUGUCAUAUUUUGUCACAAGUUAAUUUAAAAAUAAUUAAUUUUGAUUCAUUUAUUAAAUAUGAUUUUACUGAAAAAUCAAUUAAUUACUACGUGAUUUUUUUAAAUCUACAAUUAAAUGUAAUCGAUAUAUAUUUUUGAUUAUUACAAAAUAGAGUCUGUAUGUUUGUCAUGCCCUACCAUCAGUAAAAGUGAUGAAUUAUAUAUUAACAAUAUUUAAGUUAUAUAAAAAAGGAUUUUUUAUUUCGAAUAAAUUUAUUAUGUAUGUCCUAGUUAUGUAAAUGUCUUUAUUUUUAAAAAACUAAUUUUUUGACUAUGAACUUAUUGUCGAAAAGGGGCUUCGGUUGGGGGAAAGGGCUAAGUUUCCAAUUUUUUUUUCAAAAUUUUUGGGAUUUUUUUUGAGAAUUUUCAAAAUCGUAGGUCGACCGUGGUCUCGCUAUUUGAACCGAAAUUUUGCCUCAAUUUAGACACUUCACUGUCCACGAUUCAGGCACAAUGGUUAAACACGCCUUACUACAAAAACUUAAACAUCUGUUGAACACUUGUCUAAAAAACGGACCUUAUGUCAACGUCAUAAUGUGUCAUUUUUUUUGACAAGUGUUCAACUGACGUUUAGAAGUUGUUGUGGUACGACGGUCAGUGUGUAUCACAUAUGACUCAAGAGACAGGGAAGUUAUUAAAACUAUAUUCUACAGUAUAAGACUAUCCUCUCGGAAGAUUUAGAACGCUUGGCCCCUUAAAGCAGGCAACCGAAGCCGUUUUUUUUUUAUAUAAAAUACAUAAUAUUUUAAGAAAACGACAUAGCGCACCGAUUUUUAUCAGUUUUUUUGUGCGUUAAUAUGUAUUGAAAUUGUUUUUUUUUUGGGCUGAAGUGUGAUUCCUAAUUUUGCAAAUCUAUAUACAUAUAUAAAAAUGAAUAUAUGCCUUCAUCACGCCAGCACGCGUGGGUUUUUGUCACUAUCCAACUAUUGAAAGCAGUAAUCUGUGGACGCGGGUAAAAAAAAAACAUCUUUGGCAAUCGUUAUGGGUAGUCGAAGCCAGUAAGUUAGACAAUCAGUCUUAUGAAGGGGUAUCGUGCUGCCCUGGUAACUGGGUUGACGAGGUCAGAUAGGCAGUCUCUCCAUGUGGCACACUGGUAUUCAGCUGCAUCUGGUUAGACUGGCAACUGACGCAAAUAUACUUAGGAAAAGGCUAGGCAAAUGAUGAUGAAUUUUCAAUUUAUCAUUUUUUUUUCAACUGUCACCAUUCUUGCUAUAUUAAUUCCGGUUAUUUGUGUGUGUAAAACCUAAAAAAAAUGCGGUUUUAAAAGUUAGGAUGCACCACUUCAGCUCAAAAAUUAUCAAUUCUUCUUCCACAUUUUUAAAUCGAGAAAAAAUAUGGUAAAUUAGUUGUUUAGCAUUACAUUGUUUUUAAGCUCUUAAUGUUCCUAGAUUUGUAUUUUUUUUUUUAAUUUAUAAGGACGCGAUUUUUAAAGGAAUUUUUAAUUAUUCAAUGUAUCGGUGCGUCAGGCGGGAUCGUUUUUGGGAAGCGAACAUUUUUCAAGAUGGCCGUUUGACAGCUCAGAUGUCAAACUGUCAGGUAAUGUCAAAAAAUUUCUUUCUGGUUAAUGGAUGGAAUAUGGAAUGGAAAAUAGAUAAGUUGCUUUAUGGUAUUGUUUUCAAUAUUUUUAAUGAUUCAUGCCUUUGAAAUUACAUAAAAAUUGACAUAAGUAUAUCGUCAAUUUUGACGUAGUUUUAUAUUUUUUACAAACAUUUUUAAAUAGGUCAAAUUUCUUGAAUAAAAAUUGUGCGUGCCAAUAUUUAAAUCACAUUCACAAUUAUAAUAUUUUUAAUAAAAAAUAGUUUUUGAGUAAUUAGUGAGUUUCCCAAAGACGGUGUCGCGUCAGUUUUUUUAUGUUUCGAAGUGCGAUAGAAUUAUUGGAAGUAAGUGUCGAUAAUUCCUCUCACUCCGGAACAGGCAUUUAUUCAUGUUUAAUAAAUUAUAUCGAUAUACAGAUAUUGUCGCGCGGUAACCACUAUGUUUAGUAAUAGCGGGCUAGGGCCGCACAAAACUAUCGAUAUCGAGAAAUAUAACAAACAAAACAAAAGUUUUUAUUUAUCGACAAUAUCGAUAACUUUGCCCGUCCCUGGUCAAGGUGGAGAUUUUUAUGCAGAAAAAUUUUAUACCGUGAGAUAGUGAUGUGUUGUAGGUUUCUUUUCAUUCUGGUAUUUUUCAUGUAGUAUAGGUAUUUUUUUUUCUUUCGGGGUGUGUGGAAAUCUGUAUAAAUUAGAUUUUACUAGAGAUUUUUCGGAGAGGUAGUUCUUAAGUUAUAUGGGGCGUCGCCCUGUCCAUAGCUCUGCGCAAAGUUGGGUUCAUUUAGUGGCCACUAGUGAUGUGACACCUCUAUAUCGGUAACAAUUGAAUCUCGACUCGAAUUCGGACAAAAAAGUAUUUUUCGUUUAUUAAAAAAAAAUCGUGUAAAUAAAAUCAAACCUUUUGGAUGGAGAUUAUUUUUCAAAUUUUUAUUUUAAUUUUAGCUUUUUUUUAACACUAAACGGACCCAAACAUUGUAUAUUACGCAGCGUUGAAUUAAUUAGGAAUUAAGAAUUUAGUGUUAACACAAAAUAGAUUUCAACAAUGCAAAAAAAAGUUUUUUAAAAAAUAUUAUGAUUAUUUUUUUUUGUUUAAUAAUAUUAAUUGAUUAAUACAAGUAGCGUGAGGUUGUAUCUUUGUUUAAAGUUAAGAUAUAAUUAUUUCCUUUAAUUUGUCACUUAGAUAAAUAAAAUAUUUUUUUCUUAUCUUAUUGAUGUCAUGUUUAUAUACAUACAUAAAUAGUUAUUAUAUAUUAAAGAUA